rnacentral:lncRNA from 1 species
AUUCCAUGGCGGAGGAUCCGGAGAAUGAAGAGCCAGUGAGUCCCGUUGGAAGAAUGCUCAUCCAGCCUCGACUUCAUUGCACCAUUCUCUGCAUCAUCGGCUUUCAAGACACAGUCAGCGUCCCUGGAAUCAAGAGCAAGCUCCUCCAAACCUUUGCCAAGCACAAAAGAUUCAGUAGCAUCAUGGUAUGUUCAACUUCCCUCGCUUCAAUCUCUUAACGCCUCUCUUUCUUGGGUUUACAGCAACUCGAUGGCUCUGGACGCGAGAAAUGGGUUAAAACUCGAGUCAACAUAGAGGAGCACGUCAUUGUUGCAAAUAUCUUACCAGAGGCCCAGAAGUCUGCUUCGCCGGUUGAGGACUAUGCCGCUGCUCUGGCCGUCGCUCCACCGCUCGAUCCAAGAAAGCCACUCUGGGAGGUCCACAUACUCAACGUCCCGUCGUCGGAUUCAGCUGCCAGUUGCAUUCUAAGAGUCCACCACUCGCUCGGCGACGGCAUCUCUCUGGUUUCCCUGCUUGUAGCAACACUCAGAAGUGUGAGCGAUCCAGAAAAUCUGCCAAGCAUGCCACUCCCACCUCGAAAGCAGCACCCGAAAGGGUUCUUCGCGGGACUCUGGUUUGUCCUCUGGACAGUGCUUGCUACGCUGUGGUACACAGUAACCGAGGUUGGGAGAUUUGCAGCAGUCACUUUGUUCUCCAAGGAUAGUUCCACGCCAAUUAAAGGGUCUCCUGGAGUCGAGCGCAUGCCUAAAAGAAUUGCAUCCACGGAGAUAUCACUGGAAGACAUGAAAACUGUAAAGAAAGCUGUGAAUGGGGUACGUUACCUGAACACCCUCUGACUGACUUGGACGUUGGAUUCUUUUUUCCUUGUCGCAGACGAUCAACGACGUCAUGCUCGGAUUUGUUUCAGCAGGGAUCGCGAGCUACCUGCGUGAAAAAUCGCCAAAACAAAAUUUUGAAAGCCAUCGCAUGCAUGCAACGGCAUUAGUAAACAUAAGAAAAUCCCCAGGCUUACAGGCAAGUGUAGAAUUCUUUCAAGCAUGGCCCUCACCGUGUUUUUUUCGUUGUUGUCACAGGAGAUAGCAGACAUGAUGGAGGGAUCAUCCAAAGCACGCUGGGGAAACCAGAUUGGUUAUUUGGUCAUUCCCAUUCCACUGAAAGAGCACACUGAUCCACUCGAGCAUGUCCGGUCUGCAAAGAAAAUCAGCACUAGGAAAAAGCUAUCACUAGAGGCUCCAUUUACCUAUGCAGCCGGCUCCUUGACGAUGAAACUUUGUGGACCAAAGGUCAGUCGUAUGUCUUCGUCGUC